UACGUAGGGGGCAAGCGUUGUCCGGAUUUAUUGGGCGUAAAGAGCGCGUAGGCGGUUUGGUAAGUCCGUUGUGAAAACUCGAGGCUCAACCUCGAGACGCCGAUGGAAACCAUCAGACUAGAGUCCGGAAGAGGAGAGUGGAAUUCCUGGUGUAGCGGUGAAAUGCGCAGAUAUCAGGAAGAACACCCGUGGCUAAGGCGGCUCUCUAGUACGGUACUGACGCUGAGACGCGAAAGCGUGGGGAGCGAACAGG
rnacentral:rRNA from 1 species